UCUGGGAUGAUUCUAUAUCUCUGAAAUCAUGACUAAAAGAGGAUCACAACAUUGAGAUGAUUUUAAACAUGGUAUUCUUUGGUUAAUUGAGAUAUAUGAAAAAUGUGUGCCUUGUAGUGGAUAUGGAUUGCAUGACCUUGGUACAGAAUAUGAGCAUGUUAAGAUGAGUUGUGAUUCAUAAAGCCCAUGUGAGAUAAUUGAACCAUGUCCCUUUUUCUUGGAGUGAAAUGAAAAAUAUAUUCUUAAUUUCUUGGCGAUGUUUUGAUGAUCUCAUUAUUCUUUCAUCUUGAUUGACUGCUUGCCAUAGAUUAAGUUUAAUGGACUAGAGAAUGCUAGAAUUCGCUCUUGUGCUUGUUGAGACGUGAUAUCAAUACAUGGCCCUGAUUCUGGAAGGGAUAGAGGUUCUCUAGGAAUUACCACCAUUGCCAAAUAAACUUGUGUCCCCAUUUGUGCCCGUCGUGGGACCCCCCUAGAUAAGCCCCUUUGAGCCUACAUUAAGCCUUUUCGUUCAUCACCCUUAAAAUCCUUAACCAUGAAGCUUAGUAUAGUUACAACCCUACCCUUUGUUCUAAGGACUUAGUGGAGCUAUCUUUUGAGACAUACUACAUGGGUUUGGUGCUAAGGAUGAAGAUUGAGAAGAGGUGAAAGUUCAAGUGUGGGGAUAGACUUGUCCAUAAAGAAAAAGAUAUGUUGAAGCCGUGAAAAAUGAAAAGAAAAGAGAAAAAUUGUGUACGGCUAAAAAGAAAAAGAAAGAAAAAAAAUAUAUGUUUAUGGACUUUCAUCCCCCAUACUUAGUGAUUUUGGAGUUUGCUUUGAAUUGAAGGCCCACUACAGAAAAAUUUGGCCUUUGUCCAUUUCACUAGAGUUCAAGGGAAGUUUAUAUUGAAGAUUGGGCCCAACAUGAAGACAUUUGGCCCUCUUAUAUUACCUCUAUGGAGAAGUGACGUUUUUGCAAUGCCUUGGUGAAAUAUUUCGAGAUCUCUACAUUCAUAUGAGCUCUACUAGGUUUUUAGGACACUUUGAUAAUCCUUACCUUUCAUUUCUUUAAACCUUGAGCCUUAGCCCCAUUACAACCUUUGAGAGGACCUUCUUGAUCCUUAAGAUGGGACAGCCUUUGAUGUGGAGAUGAGUUACAAGAGUUGAACCUAUGGCUUGGGUCCAUUCGUGCAAGUAGUUGAUAUCCUUCAUGAGAUCUUUUGAAAAAAAAUUAUAUUCACAAAGUGCUUUUCGUUUCGUAUAUAUGUGAGCUAUUUGACUGCCUUAAAAUAUGUUCUCUCACAUAUAAAUGAGUGAUUAUAAGCUUUUAAGCAUUGCCUUGAUCUGAGAGAAGAAAGAGUGGAUAUACCUUGUGAGGAUAUGAAUCAUACUUGUCUGAAGCAUGCUAAGCUAAACCCCAAUCACCAUUGUUACAACCAAGUCCUACUUGUGUAUGUGUGGAUCAUAUGUUUUAAUUAACUCUCGAAUGCUUAACAUUGAUUCUUGGUUGAGUGCUAAUCUUGGUGUUGUGAAAGUAAGAGAUUUCUGAGACAAUAUGUUAAAGGGCAAUAGAGGUCUUUGUGAUGUCAACAUCUUGGUCUUUGUCUUUGAAUUUACUCUUUUAUGUGUGACGUUUUUUUUUUCUUUGUGUUUUGCUUUGUGUUUUACGUUUUUGGUUUCUUUGAGUCUUUGUGUUUUUGUUUCCAUACUUAGUCAUUUUUUUCGUUGGUUUCUUUGUUUUGUGUCAUAGUCUUUUUGGUUUGUUAGUUUUUGAUUUUGCUAAGGGACUAGCAAAAGCUAAGUGUGGGGGAAUUUGAUAGGAGCAUUUUAAUGUGGUAUUUUAAUAGUUAAUUCCUCACAUUUUGCUUAGUUAAUUCCUUAACGAAUCGAUUUUUAACUCAAUUUCUAUUUUCUUAGGUACAUUGGAGUAAAUGAUGGUGAAAUAAGCAUUAGGUCCACACUUACCUAUAAAUGGUGGAGAAAAAUGGAAAUGUACUAAAAUGUCAAUUUUACACAUUUUCCUACUCCGGCUAGGAGAAACCAAGCCAAGCAAGGAAGAAGGAGCGGCCGCCGGACCAAAUGAACUUCAAAUGAGCUGAAAAUUUCCAGAUCCAUUCUAGACAGCCCAAGGAUCAUUUCUUAUGAAGAGUGCAAGAACUUUUGUUGAGUGGAAGGCCUUCAAACAAUCAGCCCAAUUUUCUACAGAAGCAAAACUGGAAAACUGGACCUGUAAGAGGUCCAGCAGCAUUUUCGGCCCAACCACAUGGAAUAAAAAUCUGAAAUUUUACCAGGGUGAUCUACACUCAUAAUGGAACAUUUUUUAUGAAGAGGUCAUAGUGAAAUUGGGAAUGCUUGUUGGAGAAAUAAUUGAAGGAAUAAAGGGGCAGAAACUGAUCUAAAAAACAGCUCAACAUCACAUGUUCAUGUUUCCUACCCACAUGAAGAAAGCUAGAUGCUUUUCUCUUUUUCCUUGGAUAUAUUUUUCUGCUCCAAUAGAUCAUCAUCACUUCCAUACUUCUACACCUUCAUGCCUUGCUUUCAUUUCAUCAUUACUCCAUCUUUUCCAUAUUUUACAAACCACUUUCAUUAUUUUUCUUCCAUUUAUCAUUUCACUCUUCUUUUUCUUCCCUAUAUAAACACCUUCUCCUCUCACUCUAAACAUUCCUUCAUCCAUUCCAUUUUCUUUGUCUUUCCAUUUCCUUUCCAUUUUCCCAAACAUUCCUUCAUCCAUUAAUCCAUCUUCUUUGUCUCUCCAUUUCCUUUCCAUUUUCCUUUCCAUCCUCUAGUUUCAAGUUUAGUCAUCUCCAUGAGUUCAAGCAAGGCCAAAGAAGAGAAGCCGUGAGCACUUCCAUCCAUAGCCAUCCUUGAAGCUUGCUUUCGAGUUUCAAGAAUCCACAACGUGAAUCAUCCAUCUCAUCUUCAUCCACGGGGGACGUGGUUUUGUGCAAGCUAAGGAACAAUGCUGAUGACAAGGAGGCCAAGUCUGAUACGAAGGACAUUCAACAGGACUUUUCCUCCACCGAAGUGCUUGCAAGGGAGCCAUCGCCUAAUAGUGACUGUAAUUGCUUAUACUCUUCGAUUGCAGCUGAUGAUCCCGAAUUAACAGAAAUUGUCAAUUGGCUCCUUGUUGAUCCUGAACCAGACUCGUACACUCUGUUCAAUCACUCAACUACUAUGCAGAUAUAGUUGGCCAGGUCUGAUUAAGCAAGAGUGACAUAUAAAUAGUCCAUAGACUGAAAUUAACAAAGUAGGCCAGCAUCUCUACUGAUCUCUUCUGCUAUUCAUAACUAUUCAUAACUAUCUUUUGUUUGUCUGAUGUAUAUUCUCUAUGUAAUCCAUGACCAAUGAUUAGUUGCAAAUUUUUAAUCA